rnacentral:rRNA from 1 species
UACGUAGGGGGCAAGCGUUGUCCGGAUUUAUUGGGCGUAAAGAGCGUGUAGGCGGUUUGGUAGGUCCGCUGUGAAAACUCGAGGCUCAACCUCGAGACGCCGGUGGAAACCAUCAGACUAGAGUCCGGAAGAGGAGAGUGGAAUUCCUGGUGUAGCGGUGAAAUGCGCAGAUAUCAGGAAGAACACCCGUGGCUAAGGCGGUGCUCUGGGCCGGAACUGACGCUGAGGAGCGAAAGCGUGGGGAGCAAACAGG